rnacentral:rRNA from 1 species
UACGUAGGGGGCUAGCGUUGUCCGGAAUCAUUGGGCGUAAAGCGCGUGUAGGCGGUCCGGUAAGUCCGCUGUGAAAGUCGGGGGCUCAACCCUCGGAUGCCGGUGGAUACUGUCGGGCUUGAGUACGGAAGAGGCGAGUGGAAUUCCUGGUGUAGCGGUGAAAUGCGCAGAUAUCAGGAGGAACACCAAUUGCGAAGGCAGCUCGCUGGAACGUAACUGACGCUGAGACGCGAAAGCGUGGGGAGCAAACAGG